AACUUCCUGCGGUAUUCGUGAUAUUAUAUUGUUUCUGAACUAAAUAUUAUUCGGAGACCGAGCCAUUUGCGGCGCAUGAGCCGAACAAGAUUCGGAUUUGCAAAGUUUAUAAGGUAGGUUUCCACCCUUGUAAUAGGGUUCGAGUAAACAAUCUAUACACGGUAUCGCGGGUUUAUA
rnacentral:other from 1 species